AAACACUGUUUCCAUGACAACAACCCAAGCACUGCAAAAAGGAUGAGGGGAAAAAAACACACAGAGACACAUUUCUCUGUCUCGCUGUGUAUGUUUCUGUGUUUUCGGUCUCUUGCUGCUCGGUGAUGAACCUGCUGCUAAAACGUCUCUAAACAACCAACUGGUCUGAUUUCAGCUGCAGAAUAAUGUCACUGGGUUGUGAUUUAAAGUCCGUCCAAAGGUUGAUAUACAUCUGGUUUGGUUCCCCUGGAGCUGCAGAGACUCUUAUGAUGUGUUCAGAAAUGGGUUUCCAUGGAAGACACACAAUAAAAGGGACAAAUGUGAAAUAUCUGCCAACAUGGAAAGGGCUGUAAACCAGUGAAAGACGAGCAAAGAGUCACCGUCUCACGGUGGAAGUCUUGGACAGACGAGAAGCUCCUUCGUGCUGAGGAGGAUGUAAAAGGCCAGAGCUCCAGGAUGUUCAGUAAAUGUCACAGUCUGACCGCGACCCAAAGUUCACCUCCACCUGCUUCGAUGAGUACGAGGUGGCCACUGAAGAGGACUGUCCCUCUUCAUAUCACAGAGACCUUUCCUUCAGAUUACCCAGAAUUACCAGCAGGACAGUCCUCUGCGUCCAGACCAGAGUUCAGCCGCUGCCUCCUCUGCAGAGCUUUUAUCCAGAUAAAAGUCGGCACAUCUUAUUUGUCUCGGAGGCUCAACAGCAUCACAGAGAACAGAACUGACUUCCAAGAUAAACAACUCGGUCCUCUUUGUGUUUCCGAACAACUGAAGCUCUAAUUACAGAAUCCCAUCAUCAAUAUGAAAAGGACGGGGUUUUCUUUUCCAUUAAAAGGACCAGCGGCGGCAGCAGAUUGAUUUUUUCCUGAUGAGUGCUUCAUUUAGGACAAGAGGCGUCUGCAGAUGGAGGUCUAACGGCUCCAUGGCCGGGCUCGAACGCACAGCACUUGGAGGAAAUGGUGCAGAGGAAGGCCCUGAUAGAGUCCUGUACAGGCUGCAGCGUUCUGCAAACCCUACCCAGUCGCACUGCAGUUCGUGAAAUGGUCACGAAAUUGAAUGUACUGAUUCGUGUACGUAGACACAAAUGUCACAUUUUUUUCGUUAUGGUCAGCACAAAACCAAUUUGUAUGUAAUCCACUUAAUUGUGAACCGGGAAGUAUAAAGAGCA